rnacentral:tRNA from 1 species
GAGCGUAGCGCAACAGGUAGAGCGAUGGUCUCCAAAACCAUGUGUUGAAGGUUCGAGUCCUUCCGUUC